rnacentral:ncRNA from 2 species
UAGUACCUUCGGGGCAGGGUGAAAUUCCCGAUCGGCGGUUAGAGCCCGCGAGCUGCUUGUGUUUAAAGACGAGUCUUUCGUAAGAUAUCACAAAAUGCUGAGCCGGUGAGAUUCCGGAGCCGACAGUUAAAGUCUGGAUGGGAGAAGGUUAAG